GCUUCCAGGAGUCUGUCUCCUUGUUACUCUGCUGGUUGGCUUACAGAAGUUGGGUUUGGUUUGGUUUGGUUAUUUUGUUGAACCCUGCUUUUGACGACUUUGUGUUUUUGGGUUUGUUUGUUGUGUUUGCAGGCCGGUUGGGAAUGUUUCAGAUAUGCUUUCCCUUUGUGGGGAGACCUGAACUCCCCCCUUUUCCCCUCCUCUGGGAUUAGUCCUAUGAGCAUUGCUUUAUGGGGUGUUUUUAUUUAUUUAUUUUUACGUUUUGCUUUUAAAUUUGUUUUCAAUUUGCCAAUUACCUCCCGUUCCCCUUGUUCGAUCAACAGAGACUGAACUGUGAUGCGGGGAUUAUGGAUUCAGCUCAGAUUCACACCCUUAUGUGGCCAGUGCUCCCUCUUUCUACUGAAUGCUGAAGCUUGGCCUGUGUUCUCCAUUAUCCACUCCAUUAUGAACUGAAGAAACCGCCCCCCCCAUCCUCUACAAAUGGACUAUCUACCAACAGACAGCACCGGUGGAUCAAAAGACAUCAGCCCACACCCUGGCUCUUUGUCUCACCGUAUUUGGCCUUUAGCUCCUGCAGGCUCUGGUACAGCCUCUCUCCCAGGGGUCCGAACAUGGACAGCAGUGUUUCGCGGGAGAGCUGGCACAGAAUGGGGCCGUCCAUCGAGCAACUGGACAUGGUCAGCGUGCUGGCGUCAAACUUGCUCUCUUCGACGUGGUAGCUGAUCCACUCCAGAACAUUCUGUUUGGACCAGAACUGGGGGGCCGACUGGUACCAUUUAAGGGGCCCUAAAAAAAGAUAGAUCUGAAUAUCAGUAAUGCACACAACUGUUUUUUUUUUUUCUUCUACAAGCAUGUAUGGAUGUUAAAAUAACGGGUUCACUAAGGGCAACUUGUGUAUAUUUGUGGAACUAGAUUUAUUUAUCUCAGUCCUAGUGGAAGUGCCGUUUCACAGUUCAACAUGGUAUCUAAGGCAUGAUCAGAUCCCCUGGCUGCCCUGUCAAAAGUUCACCAACAACAACUACAGAGGCAAACAGCAAUUGAUGGGCACCAUUACACCGACUGUGGGUCUAGGCAUUGAUCCAGCGCGGAGAACAAUGAUGCAGCCAGUCCCCUCCCACGGCUUGUUUGCUCAGGCAUGUUAAAGUCAGGUCCUGCGGUUUAUGGUUUCGGUGAAAUGGAAUGCGUGGCCGCACGCUUAUCUCCUCCCGUGGUCAGAGGCUGUUAACCUAGUUGCAGGGCUGACACCCGGUCGGGUCUCGUCACGCCAGCGUCUUAUCGGAUAGGCGAGUUAAACAUAGUUCGAAGGCUUUGUUUUAAAAACGACAAAAAAAAAAUCGCCCGCGUUCCCGGUCGUGAUGGAGAUGAGGGCGGUUUAGAUAUUUUCCGACCAGGUUAAUGAUUACAAAACAGACAAGAUCGUUACAAAGAUCAGCUGGCCACCUGAAUUUUUCUGAUUACAUUACAUUUAUUAUUAUCUUACAUGUGUGUGUGUUAGAAAACAACCCCACAGAUUUGGACAUUGGAUAGCAAGCAGUAAACCGUCUAAAGUAGUUAACAUGGUGACUGAACCUACUUGUAGUCACACCAUAAGUAUGCUUGCUGAUUGUGUCGUACAAAUGAGUUGGGGAGUGUGAAUAUUGCACGGUAUAUUCAACGCAGCAAUCUGAAGAAAAUUUUGAUUUUGUGAGUUCUCUUACCCAGGAAAUCAGUAGCAAAUUGUAAGUUGGCCAUCUGUGGAUCCCUCAUGACUGGAAGAGCCGUGGCUGGUGGAGCCAGUGGAUGCUCCAUUGCACCAAUCUGGUACAUCGUCCAGUUGGCAUCAGUCAGGAUGCUGCUGAGAUCAUUGGAUGCCGACAUCAGAUCUGUUUGUCAAAAUACGAAACGUACAUGAGUCUUUAAAAAUGUGAAAUACAUUUUAUUCCAAGAUAUAGAACAUAUAUCGUAUAAUGAUGAUGAAAUUUGGGUGGUGGAACUGUUCUUGCAACUGUUGCCUAUUUUUUUUUUUUUUUUUUGCGUUAUUCUCAAAAAACAGUGAAACCUGCUGUCAUGUUAAUAAAGUACACAUUUUGCAUACACUACAA